UUUAAAUGUAAAUAUAAUAUAAAUCAAAGUAGUAGUAGAUAUGAUCUUUAAAUUUAAAAAUUUUGGCGGUAUUUUAGUCUAUUCAGAGGAACCUGUUCUAUAAUUGAUAGUCCACGAUAAAAUGUACUUUAAUUAUUAGUUUGUAUAUCGUCGUUAUUAAUUAUUUUAUAAGAAAUUUAAUAAUUAAGAUUUUUUAUUAAAAAAUAAAUCAGAUCAAGGUGCAGUUUAUAUUAAAGAAGAAAUGGGUUACAAUAAGUUUAUUUAUUAUGGAUUUUUUUAUUUAAAUUGAAAUGAAAGUGGAUUUGAUAGUAAUAAGAUUUAAAUAGAUUUUAUGAUUUCAGCUCUAAAAUGUGU
rnacentral:rRNA from 1 species